rnacentral:rRNA from 1 species
GAUGAACGCUGGCGGCGUGCUUAACACAUGCAAGUCGAACGGUGAACGAGGGAGCUUGCUCCCUCUGGAUCAGUGGCGAACGGGUGAGUAACACGUGAGCAAUCUGCCCCGAGCUCUGGGAUAAGCGCUGGAAACGGCGUCUAAUACCGGAUACGACGCGCGAAGGCAUCUUCUGCGCGUGGAAAGAAUUUCGGUUCGGGAUGAGCUCGCGGCCUAUCAGCUAGUUGGUGAGGUAACGGCUAACCAAGGCGACGACGGGUAGCCGGCCUGAGAGGGUGACCGGCCACACUGGGACUGGGACACGGCCCAGACUCCUACGGGAGGCAGCAGUGGGGAAUAUUGCACAAUGGGUGCAAGCCUGAUGCAGCAACGCCGCGUGAGGGACGACGGCCUUCGGGUUGUAAACCUCUUUUAGUAGGGAAGAAGCGAAAGUGACGAUACCUGCAGAAAAAGCACCGGCUAACUACGUGCCAGCCGCCGCCGUAAAAC